UACGGGGGGGGCAAGCGUUGUUCGGAAUUACUGGGCGUAAAGGGCGCGUAGGCGGCCUGUUAAGUCACACGUGAAAUCCCUCGGCUCAACCGGGGAACUGCGUGUGAUACUGGCGGGCUUGAAUUCGGGAGAGGGAUGUGGAAUUCCAGGUGUAGCGGUGAAAUGCGUAGAUAUCUGGAGGAACACCGGUGGCGAAGGCGGCAUCCUGGACCGGCAUUGACGCUGAGGAGCGAAAGCCAGGGGAGCAAACGGG
rnacentral:rRNA from 1 species